rnacentral:tRNA from 1 species
GCACCCGUAGCUCAACUCGGCAGAGCAGUGGAUUCUUAAUCCACGGGCUGCAGGUUCAAGUCCUGCCGGGUGCA